rnacentral:rRNA from 1 species
UACGGGGGGGGCAAACGUUAUCCGGAGUUACUGGGCGUAAAGGGCGUGUAGGUGGUAGAGUAAGUCUGGCGUGAAAUUUUUCGGCUUAACCGGGAAAGGUCGUCGGAUACUGCUUAACUAGAGGACGGUAGAGGCGUGUGGAAUUCCGGGUGUAGUGGUGAAAUGCGUAGAGAUCCGGAGGAACACCAGUGGCGAAGGCGACACGCUGGGCCGUACCUGACACUGAUGCGCGACAGCAUGGGGAGCAAACAGG